AUGAUUGGAACUCUCUUAUACAUAAUCUCGUUCAUUUUACUCAAAGGUUCCUGUAAGGGUGUGUUGAUCACUCAGUGGCCUAAAUAUAUCUCCAGUUUUAAAGGCACUUCAGUGGACAUGCACUGUUACCAAAAUGACACAGACUAUGACUACACUUACUGGUACAGACAAAUCAAAGACAAAGAGCCAGUACUUAUAGCCAGAUCUGUAGCUGGCAGUCCCAGUCAGGAGAAGGGUUUUGAAAAUGGCUUCAAAGCCUGGGGACAAAAGAAGAAGUGGUCCCUGACAGUGGAUGUUAAAGAGGACAGUGAUGCAGUUUACCUGUGUGCUGCUAGUUUCCACAGUGCGUAA